UAGAAGACUGCCGCUCGUUG
rnacentral:miRNA from 1 species